rnacentral:lncRNA from 1 species
AAUUACCCUCCUCUCUCUCUCUCUCUCUCGCGGUCUGUCUCCAUCUCUCUUUGGCACUCUGCCUGCAAGAGAAUUGAAGAUCCAUUAAUGAGGUUUGGUGGAGUCACUGAUCGAGGGAUGUGAAAGUAUACGUCAGGUACACAACAGUAGAUUCGAGGAACCUCAGUUAUUGCCUCUUUGACUCCAUUUGCCUCCCUUCCCUCCUCUCCUCCGAGCAACUAAAACGAUUUAAUCUCCUUAUAAAGGAGGCAUUCGUUGAAGGCAUAGCCAGGAGGCCAUGAGGAAGAAGAGAUGGGCUCCGACGUCUGCCAUGGCUGCUUGCUUAAUUCUAGUCGUUGCUGCUAUGUGUUCAGCUGCACUCGGUCGAGAGAUGGGGAGGAAGCGAAGGCAUGCAAUGGAGGCCGAGAGGAUACCAGCGAACGAGUCGGUCGUCGAUGCUGCUGCCGUGAACCUCUGUGACUGUCUUGAUCGACCGAAGAGGAAUGAUAGCUUGGUUGAUGACUACAAGCGGCUCGUCCCUACUGGUCCAAAUCCUUUGCACAAUAGAUGAAGGAAGUAACAAGCUUUGGUCGACAGGGAAUGAGGUAGAAGAGGUUAUAUGCUGCUCUUCUGCUCGAAGAAGGGAAAGAAGAAGAACAAGAAGUAAUGCUCCUCUUUAAUGCUGUAAUACUGCUCUUCUGCUUGUUUUUCUUCUUUUUCCUGUUACAGGGGAGCUUACCGUGUUAAAUUUAGGAAGGAAAUGUUACUUCUUUCAGCUCCUUCUUGCUGUCAUUCUUCCAGACGUAAAG